GGACUCAACAUUGCAUGGAGCAGAUGUUACACACUGACAGCAGUGUGUGUGCUGCUGUGUGUUCUCCUGCUGACUGCCGUGAAAGUGAUGUGGAUCAAAUACAACAACCUGAAUACAGCAAACAGCCAGCUACAAACAAGUUACAACAACCUGACUAAAGAGAGACCAGUUGCAGUCUGCUAAUUAUGACCUGAAUAGGGAGAAAGAUCAACAAGAAGCCAAAAUGAAGGAACUGACAAAUAAAACGAUCAAUUUACAAGCCAGUUAUAAUGACACGAAAGACAAGAGUGAGAAGUUACAGAAGAAAAAAGACGCCCUUCAGAAGAACCUAACUGCUAUAGGAGUUCAUCAUUAAACAGCUGGGAAACAAUGAGGCUUGGAUUGGUCUGAGUGACAGAGACACAGAGGGGGUGUGGAAAUGGGUGGAUGGUACACCACUGACCACUGCGCCCUGGCGUUUUGGAGAACCAAAUAAUCUAGGUGAUGAGGACUGUGCUGAGAUUUUGAGUUUUAACGUUAGUAAGACCUGGAACGACAUGUCAUGUUCGACUCAGCUACCAUGUGUAACACUCGUGUCACUCUCAGGUUGAGGUAUGCUGGACCAGUAUUUAGGUUCUGAGGAGCAGUAAUGAAACUCACACAGACCACCAAAUGUGUUUGAACUGCCGGCUUAUAUUGACAAAAAGUGAGCAAUUGUAAGAUGUCACUUUGCACAAAAAAAGAAAAAAGAAAAGAAAAGAAAUUACAAUCAUAAUAUGAAAGAAUGGGGAAAAAAUAAAGAAUGAAAGAAAUAUAUAAAAUGUUUGAUUACCCCCUUCUUUUUCCUAUAGGUUUUCUUCUAUUUGCACUAAUUUAACUAGCUUUGUUCACAUAGUUGUUUUAUCCUAUAUAGUUUAGAUCUAAUACCAGUUUAUUAUGUUCGCUUUUAGGCCUAAUCAAUUUGAGUUUGGUUUUUCCUCAUAUAUAUUCGGUGGUUUCCACUACACAGUAUUACUCAGACUGCUUCAAAGUAACAUUUUUUGUUUGACACAAAAGAAUACAUCACUAAAACUCAACAUUCAAGGGAAAAAAAAUAAGAAAAUGAAUGCAAUAUUCUCAAAGCUGGUUUCACAAUUAUGUACAGUAAUUUUGGUUACCGUCAGUCAUCUAUAAUCAACUCAGUCCAACUCUUGUCUGCAGGAAAAAAAUGUAACA